rnacentral:rRNA from 1 species
AUUGAACGCUGGCGGCAGGCCUAACACAUGCAAGUCGAGCGAGCGGCGGACGGGUGAGUAAUGUAUGGGGAUCUGCCUGAGGGAGGGGGAUAACUACUGGAAACGGUAGCUAAUACCGCAUACCAUCGGAUGAGCCCAGAUGGGAUUAGCUUGUGGGUGGGGUAACGGCUCACCUAGGCGACGAUCCCUAGCUGGUCUGAGAGGAUGAUCAGCCACACUGGAACUGAGACACGGUCCAGACUCCUACGGGAGGCAGCAGUGGGGAAUAUUGCACAAUGGGCGCAAGCCUGAUGCAGCCAUGCCGCGUGUAUGAAGAAGGCCUUCGGGUUGUAAAGUACUUUCAGUGGGGAGGCGUUACCAACAGAAGAAGCACCGGCUAACUCCGUGCCAGCAGCCGCGGUAAUUC